UCUGUUUGCGGAUCGAGUCCUCCCGGGAGCCGAGCUUUUAAGCGGCUCCUGUGGGAGAGGAAAGAAACCCAACUCUGGUUCCCAGCUUUGUAGACAACUGCACUGUGGGAAAAAUGUGGGAUAAGAUAGUGUGUGCUAUGUCUGUCUUCUUUUGAAGAAACUUCCCCAAAGAACAAGCAGAUACAUCUCUCUAUAUAUCAGCCUACGGAGCUGGCAACGGAGUCGGAUAGUGAUGAGGCUGAGGUGAGGCCAGGGCCAUCGGGAAGUGAGGUGCGGACUCCAGAGCCUCCAGAGACUGAUGGUAGUGAGGCAGAGGAACAGAAGGAGCCUGUUCCUAAUGCAAGCAUGAGAAGAGCUGCCAGAAGGUAAGAGCAGCUCAAGCAGAGAGGACAACUCGGGAGUAGGGCCAAGAGAUGAUUGGCCCCUCCCAUAAGGCUUAAAACAGACCAGCACUGCAUUUGAGCUUUGCUGGAAAACAACGUUGUAGCUGCGUCUUCUGCUUCGUCUUCUGCUUCGUUUUUGUGGCUUCUGGACGUUUGCCAGGAAGGGCCUUUGGCAGUUUGCCUAAUUGGACUAAGGUUUG